ACUCCUGCGGGAGGCAGCAGUGGGGAAUUUUGGACAAUGGGCGAAAGCCUGAUCCAGCAAUGCCGCGUGAGUGAAGAAGGCCUUCGGGUUGUAAAGCUCUUUUGUCAGGGAAGAAACGGUGAGAGCUAAUAUCUUUUGCUAAUGACGGUACCUGAAGAAUAAGCACCGGCUAACUACGUGCCAGCAGCCGCGGUAAUACGUAGGGUGCAAGCGUUAAUCGGAAUUACUGGGCGUAAAGCGUGCGCAGGCGGUUUUGUAAGUCUGAUGUGAAAUCCCCGGGCUCAACCUGGGAAUUGCAUUGGGGACUGCAAGGCUAGAAUCUGGCAGAGGGGGGUAGAAUUCCACGUGUAGCAGUGAAAUGCGUAGAUAUGUGGAGGAACACCGAUGGCGAAGGCAGCCCCCUGGGUCAAGAUUGACGCUCAUGCACGAAAGCGUGGGGAGCAAACAGGAUUAGAUACCCUUGUAGUCCCAUGA
rnacentral:rRNA from 1 species